rnacentral:lncRNA from 1 species
CCAAGCCCUCUCAUUUUCACUCUCCAGUUCCAAAUCAAUGAAACCCUAGCCGCCUAAAUUUCCCCCCAUUGUCUCAACCGCGGAAAUCACCUCAUGGCGGCAGACAUUCUCCAAACCAUCCCAAAAUUUAAUCCUGCAACCAUCGUCCCCUCCCCUUUAAAAAUCCCUAAACCUUUUCAUUUAAACCUUGCUCAAUCUGGGCAUCAAAUCUCUGACAUGCAAAAUUUAAGUCCCAAGACUUCAAGUUUUCAAGGAUGAUUUAGCCUGAAACGGAUGUCAAUCGUUUGUUCUUAAAAAGAGUAUUAGUUUAACUUUUACUUUGUCUUAAAUUAGAGCAUCCCGGAGUUAGUAAGAGCAAAGUGUCAUCCAUUUUGAUAUAGGUAUCUCUAAUAUUCUUCUUCUCUUUCUACUUUUUUAAUUCUUCCCUUCUCUUUUUCAUUUGUCUUCUUCUGUUCUCUCGUUCUUCACUCUGCCUCUUUCUAUUUUCCCUUUUUUUAACCAAAAUGAAGAAUGUUCAGGUAGCCUUAACUUGUGGACUGCUAUGUUUUUUUCUCUCAUGAUUGGUCAGUAGGUUUUAGUUUUCCCUAAUCCUUAUAUAUGUCCUCAAAAUCAUUAGUUUGUCCGGUUAGGGUUUGUUAAUUUGGUCUAGUUUUGUUUAACUCUUUUAACCCGUAAAGUAAUUUUAGUUGAUUAUUAGUCUUAGUUACUUUUGGUUUAAUUAGUUUUACUUUUAACAGCUUGGUUUGAUUACUGCUUAAUUAGCCUAGGUUUAGUUUGUAUUCCAUCAUCUCGUAUUAUCAUCAUCAAAUUUGUUAGUCUAAAGAAUAUUUGUGUUGUUUCAUUUUAAAUUUGGCUCAUUGUGGGAGUUAGGAUUGGUUUGAGUUUUCAGAUGUUCACUUUCAACUUUGUUAUUUGUUCAUGAUUCGUCUUUUGCCUGUUAGUUCCUAUUUACCACAAUCUGUAAGUCAUUUAGAAUUUGUAGAGGUUAAUUGAAAAUAAAGAAACUUAAUGGUUUCUUAAGGGUAGAUAAGUAUGAAAUUGGAUAAAACCAUGUGGAAAGGUUCUAGAAUAGGGGUUUACUCGCUCUAUUUGGCCAGCACAAAAAUGCUGAAACCAAUUUGAGGCUGCCAACUAUCCCAAUUAUGUUAGAAAGAUGCUUUUAGGGGCUGUGUGAUGGAAUAAUUCCCUAAUUCUGCUUUACAACACAUGGCAAGGCUUAUAUAUAGAACCUUUCCCUAACUCCUUAGAUAGAUUUCAAACCCUAGAAAACACCCAAAAUGUUAAGCAUUGUUUGAUAAAAAAAAGCUGAAUUUAUUUCUUCUGAGUUUCUCGAGUAAAAAGAAAAAUACUCUGAAACUUUCUAUGGGAUUUCUGAAGUUCUGGGCUGAAUGUGGACUGAAUAGAAGUUGUGUAUUGCUCUGAUAUUUGUUGCCUUCUCACUCGUUUGUCUUGCUGAAAUCCUUACUCAAUUUUGCUUUGCUUUUUAUAUCUAGGUACUUCUUGGACUAUGAAUGACAUUUGAAGUGCAAGCAUCCCUUUCCUUUGAAAUAUGUAACUUAAAUGUGAAGUUUAUUGUUAAAAUGUUAGAAUUUUAGUUUUUAUUUACAUGUGUUGUGACUGUUGAAGUACAAACAUGCCUUUCCUUUGAAAUAUGUAACUGAAAUGUGAAGUUUAAUGUUAAAAUGUUAAAUUUUAAUUUUUAUUUACAUGUGUUCUUCCAAGUUCACCUAGAUUUUUUCUUGGUUUUAAUUUCUUCACCUUUUAUGUAAAUUGUUUUGGGGUCUGUUUGAUGGUCAAGCGCUUAGUGAGGAAAUUUCUUAUGUAAAUGUCUAAUUUAGUUCAUCUUUUUCAUGAAACAUUCAGAACAUCAUGAUGGUAGAGGGCUCUAGUAGUUUAUUUAUGUUAAAGGAUGUAGACUCACGUAUCAUGUAUGCUCGAAAAGGCAUUACUUGGCUGUUGUAUACCUCCAGUUUAAUUGUUUAAUUUUAGCAUUGCUAGAGUAAUUUUGUAUAUGUGAACUAGUAUGUUUGAUGAGUAGCUUUAAAAUCCAUGUCCAUACUAUUAUUACUUAUAGCAGGUCAUUAGAGUAAAGUUUAUAAUUUGUGUGUUCAUGUACUUUGAUGUUUAGAAUAUCUGUGUAGUUUUACCAUGGGUGAAUUAGAGGGAG